rfam:Fungal sp. No.14919 DNA, contig: Contig0040.
GGCCUCGUGGCCCAAUGGCAAGGCGUCUGACUACGAUGGAGAAUUCAACGAAUUCCUCAGAUAAUCAGGAGAUUCUGGGUUCGACCCCCAGCGAGGUCA